AGAGUUUGAUCCUGGCUCAGAGCGAACGCUGGCGGCAGGCCUAAUACAUGCAAGUCGAACGGAUCCUUCGGGAUUAGUGGCGGACGGGUGAGUAACACGUGGGAACGUGCCCUUUGGUUCGGAACAACUCAGGGAAACUUGAGCUAAUACCGGAUAAGCUUCGGGGGAAAGAUUUAUCGCCAUUGGAGCGGCCCGCGUCU
rnacentral:rRNA from 1 species